AGUCAUAUUGUAUGUUCCCAUCUGAUUUGUAGAUGUGUGUAAUCUCAUAUUUGGAAAAAUUUAGAUUGGAAAUAUUUGUACCUACUAGCAUGAGUAUAGUUAAAUCGUUUCAAAUUUGAAGGACGAGAUGUUUCGAGAACAUUAUGGUGCUUCCAAAUAAGAAGUUUCGUCACAGAUGAAACAACUGGUUUAAAUACAUCUCUAACAACAAAGUAAAGAGGAUGUAUUGCCUACAGUGGCUAAUUCCAGUGCUCCUGAUACCAAAACCAGUAAAUCCAACAUUGCUGCAAACGCAUGUCAUGUUUAUGGCACUUUAUCUAAUUGGAUUCUUCCUAGAACGAAAACCAUGCACUGUUUGUAGUUUAGUAUUUCUUCUUGCAGUUUUCCUAAUUUGUUAUAGUGGCAUUGGUAAUUGUUUCCUUUGGAGUACAAAUUGUGAUACAGUGAGAUGUGACAAUAGCUAAGGUUAUUAGAACGUUCAUCAUAGGUUAAAAAAUUGCCUCUACUUUCAUUUCUUUUAGAAGAAUAUGUCUAAUUAAUUCAUCGAUAACAACAUAACCUAUUCAUAGAAUUCAUAUGUAUUACAUAUACAUGAUUCUUAUUAAUUGUAUGCAAAUAUGAUUUUAUGGUUUUAAUCAUAACUUUUAUAGAUGUUACACAUGAUAUAUAUAUUUGUAAUGUACAUAUGUACAUGAAUAUGUACAUAUAUGCUUACAAUACCAUGUAUUUAUACAUACAGAAGAUAAAAACAUACAAACUUGCUAGGUCACAAAAAGUUUGCAUGAAAUUAAGAAACUUCCAAGUGUAAAAUUAUGACAAUUCAAUAUUAGAGAAUUAAGAUACAUCUUUUUGUAUAUACAAAUAAGUUUAAUUUCAUUUAAUUUAAUCCUAUUACUUGAUUGUACACUGUGUAACAUUAUUCUUUUAUUUAAAGAUGUUCUUUUUCUUAUAAAUUGUAUAUUCAAAAAAUUGAUGUUUUCGCAAUUUCUUUAAUUUGGUUAAACGUAUAAGAAUAUUGUUCUAUAAAUAAAAUUCAUUAUUAAACUAAAUAUAAAUGUCAAAUUUAGAAACAUCAAACACUUUGAAAUAUAAUACCAUUCAUUACGAAUGUUAAAUUAAAAUUUUGAGCUUAAUUAUUGUUUAUAUAUUAUUCUAAAUAAAUAAUUCAGCAGUACAAUUGGUAAUUAUUGAAUGAAGAAACUAAGGGUAUUACAAUAUAAUAUUAAAUACAUAUAAACACAAACAAAUAUGACAAGCGAUAGAAAUAUAUAUUGCGCUAAGACAUAAAAUUUAAGUUAGUUCAUUUUAACAUCUAUCUAAAGCAUCAAUUUUAUGUAAAAUUUGUUAAUGGUAAUUUAUAACACCUAUUUAUUUUUUGAAGCAUAGCGAAUAUGGGAAAUGAACAAAAUAUAUAUGACGUGCUUGUUAUAAAUGUACCUUUCCAUUAAAUGUAGAUACGAGUAUUUCAUCAUAAAAAUGAAGAAAGUAGAAGACAUUGAUGCAAUAAUCAAAAAGAGCUUGACAAAUUUUGCAUUGAAAGAUAAAAAAGCUAUGAAACAAAAAACAUCAUACUGCCAGUAUAUAUUAAAACCAUUUCUCAAAAAAAUUCUGUCAACUAUUUGAAGAGGAGUUAUACAAAAUUUUUGAUGAAAUUCUUGCUUUAGCACAAAUAUAUAUCUACAAUGUUUCCUAUUCUAACUUUGGUUUUGUCAAAAAUGAUACAUUUAUUUAGCAAACUUAUAAUUUCAAUAUUUUGUAAUUAUGUAAUAAUUGCCUACUGUUUGCUUCCAGUUAUGACUUAACAUGUUAAUAACAACUAUAAUUAUACAAUUUGUAAGUAAAUGUACAAUUUUAUAAUGCGAUAUAAAAUAAAAUAAAAGAUUAUUAUGAUAAA